rnacentral:rRNA from 1 species
UGACCUCGGAUCAGGUAGGAG